rnacentral:rRNA from 1 species
AGUAGCGGUGAAAUGCGUAGAUAUCUGGAGGAAUACCAAAGGCGAAGGCAGUCCCCUGGUCCGAUACUGACACUGAGGUACGAAAGCGUGGGGAGCAAACAGGAUUAGAUACCCUGGUAGUCCACGCCCUAAACGAUGUCGAUUAGCCAUUGGAAGGACCCCUUUUCCUUUCAGUGACGUAGCUAACGCGUUAAAUCGACCGCCUGGGAAGUACGACCGCAAGGUUAAAACUCAAAGGAAUUGACGGGGACCUGAACAAGCGGUGAAUGAUGUGGAUUAAUUCGAUGCUAUGCGAAGAACCUUACCUACCUUUGACAUGGCCAAAGUUCUACCGAGAGGCGGAAGUACUCGUAAGAGGAUUGGCGCACAGGUGCUGCAUGGUUGUCGUCAGUUCGUGUCGUGAGAUGUUGGGUUCAGUCCCGCAACGAACGCAUCCCUUAUCUUUAAUUGCUCCUAUUUUAACAGGCACUUUAAAGAAACUGCCAAUGAUAAGUUGGAGGAAGGUGGGGAUCACGUCAAGUCCGCAUGGCCUUUAUAGGUAGGGCUUCACACGUCAUACAAUGGUUAGAACAAAGAGCUGCAAAUUCGUAAGAAGGAGCCAAUCUCACAAACCUAACCUCAGUUCGAAUUGCGGUCUGCAACUCGAGCGCAUGAAGCCGGAAUCGCUAGUAAUCGUGGAUCAGAAUGCCA